UACGAAGGGGGCUAGCGUUGCUCGGAAUCACUGGGCGUAAAGCGCACGUAGGCGGAUUGUUAAGUCAGGGGUGAAAUCCUGGAGCUCAACUCCAGAACUGCCUUUGAUACUGGCGAUCUCGAGUCCGGGAGAGGUGAGUGGAACUGCGAGUGUAGAGGUGAAAUUCGUAGAUAUUCGCAAAGAACACCAGUGGCGAAGGCGGAGACCUGGGCCGAUACUGACGCUGAGGUGCGAAAGCGUGGGGAGCAAACAGG
rnacentral:rRNA from 1 species